AUACGGAGGAUCCGAGCGUUAUCCGGAUUUAUUGGGUUUAAAGGGUGCGCAGGCGGGAGAUUAAGUCGGCGGUGAAAUUUUGGAGCUCAACUUUAAAACUGACUUCCAAACUGGGUUUCUUGUGUGCAGGUGAAGUAAGCGGAAUUUUGGGGGUAGGGGUGAAAUGCAUAGAUAUCACGAGGAACUCCGAUUGCGCAGGCAGCUUACUAAACUACUACUGACGCUCAGGCACGAAGGCGUGGGGAUCAAACAGGAUUAGAUACCCUGGUAGUCCACGCAGUAAACGAUGAUUACUAGCUGUUUGCGAUACAAUGUAAGCGGCUGAGCGAAAGCGUUAAGUAAUCCACCUGGGGAGUACGUUCGCAAGAAUGAAACUCAAAGGAAUUGACGGGG
rnacentral:rRNA from 1 species